rfam:Papio anubis isolate 1X1155 chromosome 1, whole genome shotgun sequence.
GUCUCUGUGGCGCAAUCGGUUCGUGCGUUCGGCUGUUAACCUGAAAGUUGGUGGUUCGAGCUCAUCCAGGAACG